UGGGGAAUAUUGGACAAUGGGGGAAACCCUGAUCCAGCAAUGCCGCGUGUGUGAAGAAGGCCUUCGGGUUGUAAAGCACUUUUAGUUGUGAGGAAGGGUUUGCGAUUAAUACCCGCAAACUUUGACGUUAGCAACAGAAAAAGCACCGGCUAACUCUGUGCCAGCAGCCGCGGUAAUACAGAGGGUGCAAGCGUUAAUCGGAAUUACUGGGCGUAAAGCGCACGCAGGUGGAUUAGAAAGUUGGAUGUGAAAGCCCUGGGCUUAACCUGGGAACUGCAUUCAAAACUCCUAGUCUAGAGUAUAGGAGAGGGAAGUGGAAUUUCUGGUGUAGUGGUGAAAUACGUAGAUAUCAGAAGGAACACCAAUGGCGAAGGCAACUUCCUGGACUAAUACUGACACU
rnacentral:rRNA from 1 species